UACGUAGGGUGCGAGCGUUAAUCGGAAUUACUGGGCGUAAAGCGUGCGCAGGCGGUUUUUUAAGAUAGGCGUGAAAUCCCCGGGCUUAACCUGGGAACUGCGCUUAUGACUGGAAGACUAGAGUACGGCAGAGGGGGGUGGAAUUCCACGUGUAGCAGUGAAAUGCGUAGAGAUGUGGAGGAACACCGAUGGCGAAGGCAGCCCCCUGGGCCGAUACUGACGCUCAUGCACGAAAGCGUGGGGAGCAAACAGG
rnacentral:rRNA from 1 species